rnacentral:rRNA from 2 species
GUUAUAUGGUCAAGUAGAAAAGCGCACACGGUGGAUGCCUUGGCGAUAACAGGCGAUGAAGGACGUGAUAGCCUGCGAAAAGCUGCGGCGAGUUGGCAAAUAAACAUUGACCCGCAGAUGUCCGAAUGGGGAAACCCACUCCUUUGGAGUAUUCUUAUCUGAAUCUAUAGGGUAAGAAAGCAAACCUAGGGAACUGAAACAUCUAAGUACCUAGAGGAAAAGAAAUCAACCGAGAUUCCGUCAGUAGUGGCGAGCGAAAGCGGAACAGCCCGUAUGAUAUAGUCGUAUUAUGAGCAGAAUGGUCUGGAAAGUCCAGCGACACAGGGUGAUAGCCCCGUAGGCAAACAUAAAACGAUAGAACUAAGCAUACAUAGAGUAAGGCGGGACACGAGAAAUCCUGUCUGAACAUGGGGGGCCCAUCCUCCAAGGCUAAAUACUCGUUAUCGACCGAUAGUGAACCAGUACCGUGAGGAAAGGUGAAAAGAACCCCAGCGAGGGGAGUGAAAUAGACCCUGAAACCGUGUGCGUACAAGCAGUGGGAGCAUUUGAAGAAAUGUGACUGCGUACCUUUUGUAUAAUGGGUCAGCGACUUACUGGCAGUGGCAAGCUUAACCAUCAGGUAGGCCUAGCGAAAGCGAGUCUGAAUAGGGCGUUAAGUCGCUGUCAGUAGACCCGAAACCGGGCGAUCUAGCCAUGAGCAGGAUGAAAGUCGGGUAACACCAACUGGAGGUCCGAACCCACGUCUGUUGAAAAAGACGGGGAUGACUUGUGGCUAGGAGUGAAAGGCUAAUCAAGCUCGGAGAUAGCUGGUUCUCCUCGAAGCUAUUUAGGUAGCGCCUUGCGUUUUACUCUCGGGGGUAGAGCACUGUUUGGGCUAGGGGGGCAUCUCGCUUUACCAACCCCAUGCAAACUUCGAAUACCGAGAAGUACCAUCGCAGGAGACACACGGCGGGUGCUAACGUCCGUCGUGAAAAGGGAAACAACCCAGACCGCCAGCUAAGGUCCCCAAAUGAACGCUCAGUGGGAAACGAUGUGGAAAGUCACAGACAGCCAGGAGGUUGGCUUAGAAGCAGCCCCUUUAAAGAAAGCGUAAUAGCUCACUGGUCGAGUCGGUCUGCGCGAAAGAUAUAACGGGGCUCAAGCGUUCUACCGAAGCUGCGGAUGCCGUAAGGCAUGGUAGGGGAGCGUUCUGUAAGCCUGUGAAGGUCUGCUGUGAGGCAGACUGGAGGUAUCAGAAGUGCGAAUGCUGACAUAAGUAGCGAUCAUGCGGGUGAAAAACCCGCACGCCGAAAGUCCAAGGUUUCCUGCGCCACGUUAAUCGACGCAGGGUGAGUCGGUCCCUAAGGCGAGGCAGAUAUGCGUAGCCGAUGGAAAACGGGUUAAUAUUCCCGUACUUUACUGCACUGCGAUGAGGGGACGAAGAAGGCUAAGUCAGCACGCGAUUGGUUGUGCGUGUUUAAGGUGGUAGGCAGAAUCAGUAGGCAAAUCCGCUGUUUAAUGCCGAGAACUGACGACGAGUCUCGUUUCAGAGACGAAGUGACUGAUGCCCUGCUUCCAAGAAAAGCCUCUAAGCUUCAGGUGUAGUAGAACCGUACCCCAAACCGACACAGGUGGACAGGGUGAGAAUCCCAAGGUGUUUGAGAGAACUCGGGUGAAGGAACUAGGCAAAAUAGCACCGUAACUUCGGGAGAAGGUGUACCUUCUGGAUGAACCCUGCACAGGGGAAGUCUAAGAAGGUCGCAGUGACCAGGUGGCUGCGACUGUUUAUUAAAAACACAGCACUCUGCUAACACGAAAGUGACGUAUAGGGUGUGACGCCUGCCCGGUGCUGGAAGGUUAAUUGAUGGGGUUAGCGAAAGCGAAGCUCUGAUCGAAGCCCCA